UACGUAGGGGGCAAGCGUUGUCCGGAAUCAUUGGGCGUAAAGAGCGUGUAGGCGGCCCGAUAAGUCCGCUGUGAAAGUCCAGGGCUCAACCCUGGGAUGCCGGUGGAUACUGUCGGGCUCGAGUCCGGAAGAGGAGUGUGGAAUUCCUGGUGUAGCGGUGAAAUGCGCAGAUAUCAGGAGGAACACCGGUGGCGAAGGCGGGACUCUGGGCCGAUACUGACGCUGAGGAGCGAAAGCGUGGGGAGCAAACAGG
rnacentral:rRNA from 1 species